AGAGUUUGAUCCUGGCUCAGAUUGAACGCUGGCGGAAUGCUUUACACAUGCAAGUCGAGCGGCAGCGCGGGGCAACCUGGCGGCGAGCGGCGAACGGGUGAGUAAUGCAUCGGAACAUGUCCAUGUCGUGGGGGAUAGCCCGGCGAAAGCCGGAUUAAUACCGCAUACGCCCGAGAGGGGAAAGUGGGGGACCGCAAGGCCUCACGCGAUUGGAUCGGCCGAUGUCCGAUUAGCUAGUUGGCGGGGUAAAGGCCCACCAAGGCGAUGAUCGGUAGCUGGUCUGAGAGGAUGAUCAGCCACACUGGGACUGAGACACGGCCCAGACUCCUACGGGAGGCAGCAGUGGGGAAUUUUGGACAAUGGGGGCAACCCUGAUCCAGCCAUUCCGCGUGAGUGAAGAAGGCCUUCGGGUUGUAAAGCUCUUUUGUCCGGAACGAAACGGGUAACGUGAAUAUCGUUGCCUACUGACGGUACCGGAAGAAUAAGCACCGGCUAACUACGUGCCAGCAGCCGCGGUAAUACGUAGGGGGCAAGCGUUGUCCGGAUUUAUUGGGCGUAAAGAGCGUGUAGGCGGUUAGGUAGGUCCGUUGUGAAAACUCGAGGCUCAACCUCGAGACGCCGAUGGAAACCAUCUGACUAGAGUCCGGAAGAGGAGAGUGGAAUUCCUGGUGUAGCGGUGAAAUGCGCAGAUAUCAGGAAGAACACCCGUGGCUAAGGCGGCUCUCUAGUACGUGACUGACGCUGAGACGCGAAAGCGUGGGGAGCGAACAGGAUUAGAUACCCUGGUAGUCCACGCCGUAAACGAUGGGUGCUAGGUGUAGGGGGUGUCGACUCCCUCUGUGCCGAAGCUAACGCAUUAAGCACCCCGCCUGGGGAGUACGGCCGCAAGGCUAAACUCAAAGGAAUGACGGAAGGCGAAUCGUACCCGCUU
rnacentral:rRNA from 1 species